rnacentral:lncRNA from 1 species
AUCCAGCAUACCACAUCUCUCAAAGGCUAAAAAGAAACUGUGCAGGUGUAGGCUUGCCUGAGAGCUGAGAAGAAAAUCUGGUCAUCAUAAGGCUCAACUGGUCUAGAAUAUCCACGAUGGCUCACUGGAGGUUCAACGGAUUUGGAAUGUCCCCGAUGGUGGCAGUUGGUCUAUGCUGUUGGCUGGAAUCUCAGACGAGCAAUAUCCCAGAUAACCCAUCAACCUGCAUCCUGGAGCUGAGGCACUCUAGCACCUGUCUGGUCUAAGAAAAGAACUCUCCUAUCUCCUGCAUGAGUGCGGUCAAGAAUCCUGACUCCCCGCAAGGAGUCUGAAGGGUCAAGUUUCAACCAAACAUUCAAUACAGAGAAAAGGACUAACUAGGACUUUGUACAAGUAUAGCAACAACCACAUGUAGAGUAACAAGCUGGACCAGCUGGAGAUAGGACACUGCUACUCAUUUAACCUCUCCUGGCCUCAGUUUCCUCUGGGUCUUCUGAGAAAUGCAGAAGAAAGCAAUACAUCCUAAUUUGUUGUGGAUUCAAAUCUGUCUCUGCACUUUAACAUUUGCGACCCUAGGGCAAGUCCCUCCUCUCAGAGUCUCACGCCUUUGCACACUGCUCUGAGCCACAAGUGAAAGGUACCAGGAGUACAGUUGAAAUUGCUGUGCAAAGUGCUAAAUGGAGAUAAGUGAUCAUCCGAUGGUACUGAUUUGGACUGUUGAUCCAUACGACCAUGAUAUUUUACAUGACACAGUUUGGUGGUAAAGAAUGUGACUGGAGCCAAAGUUCCUAGCUUGGAUGCUGGCUCUGCUAUUUGCUAUCAGUGUAGCCUUGGCAAAUAACAUAUAUUAUAUGCUCCCUAGUUUCCUUUUAUUUAACAAGGAGACAAUAAUAGUAUUUAAAUCACAGAAUUAUAAUUAAGAAUUACAUAAGUACACAUGAAAGGCAUAAAAGUGUUCCUGGCAAAAUCAACCAAUUAUAUAUUCAUUUACAUGAAAUUUAUAUAAAUCAAUAUCAUAUAUAUAAUAUGCUGAAAACUUGUUGGCAGUGAAUGGAAAAACCAGGAUGAUAUAGGGGGUCAUGAUGAGACCUGCUAGGCUGGGUAGUAGAUGAGGAUGGGUUCACCUUCCUCAUUUUCCCUUCUCCCACGCUCCAGAACCCUUUGUGAUUGUUCUGUAGCUCUGUGAAGCAGGUCUGGAAGUCCAGACCAGAGUGGGUAUUCUCUGUGUUCAGCUUCCUGGGGUAUAAGUACAUUUUAAGUGAUAGA